UAAGGAAUAUUGGUCAAUGGAGGCAACUCUGAACCAGCCAUGCCGCGUGCAGGAAGACUGCCCUACGGGUUGUAAACUGCUUUUACACGGGAUUAAACCCCCCUACGUGUAGGGGGCUGAAGGUACCGUGGGAAUAAGGAUCGGCUAACUCCGUGCCAGCAGCCGCGGUAAUACGGAGGAUCCGAGCGUUAUCCGGAAUUAUUGGGUUUAAAGGGUGCGUAGGCGGCCCGGUAAGUCAGGGGUGAAAGACGGUGGCUCAACCAUCGCAGUGCCCUUGAUACUGUCGGGCUUGAAUGUACGUGAGGUAGGCGGAAUGUGGCAAGUAGCGGUGAAAUGCAUAGAUAUGCCACAGAACACCGAUUGCGAAGGCAGCUUACUAAGGUACGAUUGACGCUGAGGCACGAAAGCGUGGGGAUCAAACAGG
rnacentral:rRNA from 1 species